ensembl:lncRNA
UUUCACGCAGCUCUUUUUGAAUAUAAGCACAAGGUAAAACACGAAUAAUAAGUGCAUCCUAUCGAAUUAGUCGUUUGAAUGUUAGUGACAGGGCCCUGACUCCACUUCCCACAGUGCAGCGCGGCUGCGGGGGUCAUGUGAUGUGUGUGUGUGUCUCUGCGCCGCUGGCUCGUGUCUCAGUCAGACCGAUCUGUGUGAGGAUGUGCUGUGGCUCUCUGUGUGCGCUCUGCUCGGAUCAUGCGGGACACCGACCAGAGGAGCUGCUGCCCCUCACAAACGUGUGGAAUAAGAGCGCUUUCCAGGUGAAGCACUGACAGCAGAAACAGAAACAAAUGCACCGGCAACGUUACUUCUCACGCGCUGGAUUACCGUGUAACGUCUCAGUGACCGCGGAGUAACGCUGACGUUACUUCAUUACAGCUGAACUGGGUCCACCCUGACUUCACAUUGCACUUCCUAGAGAAAGGAAAAGCCCUGAUGUGCUUGUCACCCGAGCUGACGGCUGGGGCUGCGAGAUGGAGGCCGAAUGUCUUCACUCGGUCCCUCUUCAGACACUCAAAGGCUGCUCUGUUUCAGCCUGAUGACGAGCCGAUUGGAUAUAAUCUUAAGCGGGGGACUCAGGAGAUGGGGAGGCAUAGGGAAACCCUACAGUAGGCUUUGCAGGGAAGGAAUGUCUUUCUCCAGAUGUAGGAAACGAGCAUUGGAGGGUUCCUGCUGCCAGGCAGCCCGCUCCUCCUGUUAUAACAUGGGACCAAAUUCAAACCAUGUGUCCUCACACCCGGUUAGCUGCUUUUGCCCACCUCUAGCGUUAGCAGUCUGGACGGAUCCAUUUCACUGCCCCACUCCAGUGCAACAUUCUCAUUCUCCCAGCCCCAAAUGAGCCUCUCUGUGGGACUCCUGGCUUAAUAGGCUGGAACUUUCCCAUGUCCGGUCUCCUAAGGUGGCUGUUAUCCUCCAAGGGCCCCUGUGCGAGUUUCAAGCUCAAGCUCAUGUUAUGGGCUGGACGAGGUGGAAACCAGGAUGCCAGAUGUGAUGCUUCACAGAUUUUCAAGGUCGUGUCUGAAGAGACGUGUGGAUGAGUGUGACACCGCUGAUUUCUCCACAUCAUGGAUUAUCAGAGAUAUCUGGAGAUGCUCGUUUCAUAAGUGGAUUUAAGACAUUUCCUUGUACUAUGCUUUGACUGCAGAUACUGGAUUACUCGGACUGUUUUCUACUUUACGUCAUUUGUUUUCUUCUGAUUGGUCAGUACGAUGUUCCAGUCAUGAUGCUCUAUCGAUCUAAUAAAAAUAGUUUUAUUAUAAAUAGUGCUAGUAUUUCAAUAAAAUGGCAAUGUUGUUUGUAAAGAUAUAAGGCACUGUUGUGUUGAGCACUGCUGUGCUAUAUUGUAGAUGAUUAUAUCACAAUCUAACACAACCCACUGUACCCUAUUGUUACCUUUUAAAGGGAUACUCCACUCCAAAAUGAAAAUGUUGUCAUUAAUCACUUACCCGCAUGUCGUUCCAAACCCAUAAAAGCUUUGUUCGUCUUCAGAACACAAUUUAAGAUAUUUUGGAUGAAAACAGGGAGGCUUGUGACUGUUCCACAGACUGCCAAAUAAAUAACAGUGUCAAGGUCCAGGAAAGUAUGAAAAGCAUCUUCAGAAUACUCCAUCUGUCAUCAGUGAUUCAACCGUAACAUUAUGAAGAGACUAGAAUACUUUUUGUACACGAAGAAAACAAAAAUAACAACUUUAUUCAACAACUCCUCUCCUCUAUGUCUCUCCACAUCAGCGUAGCUCCAUUUUGACAAAUCUGGGCAGUAUGCAGUUGGCGUACGCUCUUCUGUGUCAGCCGCGCCACAAGGAUACAUUUAUUACGUGUAUUUAUGCUUUGGUUUGAAAGAAAACAACGCAUCGGCGCAGCGCGGCUGACACAGAAGAGCGUACGCUGCCUGCGUUCAGCUCAGAAUUGUCAAAAUGGCACUACAGGAAUUGUUGAAUAAAGUCAUUAUUUUUGUUUUCUUCAUGUACAAAAAGUAUUCUCGUCUCUUCAUAACGUUACGGUUGAAUCACUGAUGGCAGAUGGACUAUUCUGAUGAUGCUUUUCAUUCUUUUCUGGACCUUGACACUGUUAUUUACUUGUCAGUCUAUGGGACAGUCUCAAGCCUCCCUGUUUUCAUCCAAAAUAUCUUACAUUAUGUUCUGAAGACGAAAAGAGCUUUUACAGGUUUGGAACGACAUGUAGGUAAGUGAUUAAUGACAAAAUUUUCAUUUUGGGGUGGAGUAUCCCUUUAAUAUACAAGUAUUUUUUACAAACAUUGAUGUAUAAUUGAUAUAAUGUUAUUUUGAAGAUUGUCCUGAAUUUUUGCUUGAUUGAAGCAAAAUCUAUCAUAUCAUGAUGUGAAAAACUGGUGGUGACAUGCACACAAUAUUAAAAGUUAAUAAAAACAAACUUUAUUUUUAUAUUUUUAUUUUUGUAGCAAGGUCACAGUUGGAAAUUCUCCCAGAAUGCUGUUCUCACGGCUAUCGACAUCUUUACAUGCAAACAGCAGCACAAAACCGUCUCACAAAGUAUAAACAUUGACUAAAUAGUUAGUCUUAUCUGACAUUGACUUACUGCAAUCAAUAUGUGUGUGUGUGUGUGUGUGUGGCAGACAUCCUGUUUACCCGCUGUCUGCUGCAGAUUUAUUAACCUUAAACAAGAC